AUAAUAUGUUAAUUAGUGAACUUUUUUACUGGCAGAGCUGUUUCUCCCUGACAAACACAAAAGAUAGAAGAGUCAUAACAACUUCUCUCAUAUAAACAGGAUUUAUUUGCAAUAUAUACACAUUAUCAACUGUACAUGAGGAAAGAUAAUUCAUUGUUAAAUUAGAUUUUGGAAACCUUACAACCUAAAUAGAUGAGAAAUAUCAAUUCUGACAAGAGCUUGGAACUCCUCAUCAUCACAAUAAGCUGCAGGGACAGUCCUCAUGAGGGACGACUGUCAGACGACUGUGUUGUCUGGAAACAGUCUUCCUCAGAUCAGGCAGAACUUCAUCAUGCAGAUGUUGUUCUCCUCUCUCACACUCUCAUCCUGCUGGGUUCUCUCAGGUGAAAAGGUCAGAGGUCUGGUUGGAUGUGCAGGAAAAAGCAGCUUCAUGAACCCAGAA